AUUGAACGCUGGCGGCAGGCCUAACACAUGCAAGUCGAGCGGAUGAAGGGAGCUUGCUCCUGGAUUCAGCGGCGGACGGGUGAGUAAUGCCUAGGAAUCUGCCUGGUAGGGGGGGAUAACGUCCGGAAACGGGCGCUAAUACCGCAUACGUCCUGCGGGAGAAAGUGGGGGAUCUUCGGACCUCACGCUAUCAGAUGAGCCUAGGUCGGAUUAGCUAGUUGGUGGGGUAAAGGCCUACCAAGGCGACGAUCCGUAACUGGUCUGAGAGGAGGAUCAGUCACACUGGAACUGAGACACGGUCCAGACUCCUACGGGAGGCAGCAGUGGGGAAUAUUGGACAAUGGGCGAAAGCCUGAUCCAGCCAUGCCGCGUGUGUGAAGGAGGUCUUCGGAUUGUAAAGCACUUUAAGUUGGGAGGAAGGGCAGUAAGUUAAUACCUUGCUGUUUUGACGUUACCAACAGAAUAAGCACCGGCUAACUUCGUG
rnacentral:rRNA from 1 species